AGAGAUGUACAAUAUUUAGCGCAACUAAUAAGAAAGGAUCGAAAGGCUGGAUAACCGCACAAGGAAGAGCCAAAUCCACAGAUCCUGAUGGAUUUUUGUUUAAGGAUUGCGACUUGACUGGACCUGGUCUAUCCUAUUUGGGACGAGCAUGGGGAUCAUAUUCAAAAGUUGUAUUUUAUCGUUCGAAAAUGGCCAACAUCAUUGUUCCCGAAGGAUGGGACCAGUGGGAUCAAUCACCUUCGUAAGAAUUGAACUUCGUGUUCUUGAUUAUUAAUUACCAUUCGCAUUCAAUUUAAUUUAUAUACAACAUUUUUUUUUAGGAAUUUGGAGUACUCUGAAUACGAUUGUUCCGGACCAGGGUCGAGCUUGAGUUCAAGAGUGAAUUGGAUGAAGACUCUUAGCUCAAAAGAGAUUGAAUUAUAUAGUGGAAAUUUAUUCAUUGAUAAUCAAGGAUGGAUCAAUGAUCAACCUAAAUAGAUAUCAUAAUUUAUAAAUUCUGAUAAAUUAAUAAAAUAAACAGUACUCAACAAUAAUUAAACAAUAUUAGACAAUAAUUAUUUAGUGUUUCAACUGUAAACCCUAGUUGGCGAAUUAUUUAAUACUCAUAUAUAUGACUUUGCUGAAUAGAUAAUCCUAACCAUAAUUACGGAUAAUAUAGUCGUUUGAUCAUAACUUAAGGUUUCAUGUAUAAUUUGAAAGGUAAUUUAAUCCUUGUGAUUAAUUCAGAUUGAAUUAAUCAAAAUAAAAUUAAUUAUAAUCACUAUAUGCAUCAAGAAUUUAGUCCUUAUAAAAUUCCCAACUUUUAGGGGACAAUUGCUCUCCCUUUCCCCCUUCAUACGCCACGAUGCAUGUAGUCGACUAGAUACCUUAGUGUACUAAAUGAAGGUAGCCCAUUCACCUUAUUUUGGAUCCUCUACAUUCUAGUCGACCGAAUCUCUGCUAACUGAGUUAUUUGACUGAUUUGUCAAUCCAUGUAGCACAAUCGGCUGUAUUCCAAGAAACCAAUAUGGGCGAGGCAACCCAACAUAUGUUUGCUUUCAAUUAUUAUGGGCUUCCAAGAUUUAGGGCAUGCCCUAAUUUAAACCACUGGAGUCUUUGUACAAUCAUGGUAUCAUCAAAGACUGAUGAAGUGUUUUUUAGAAAAGAUGUGGAGGUGUUAUAGGAGAGCCAUGGACAAUUCUUAAAUGUAUACUUUAGAAUUUUAAAAUGGACAUUAAACAUUGUAGCAUUUAAUACAGAAUAAUGAUAAGAAAAUCAUGAUAAAAUAAAAAAUGGUAAACAUAAAAUUAGAGAAAAACAAAAUUACAAACAAAAUGAUAUGUAGAUCUUACAAAGAUCUAAUUCCUUUGCCUCUUAGCUUGGAUGGUUGCCAUUUAUUUCAUGGGAGACUCCGGCCCGUCUAUAUUGUGCGGUCAUUCCUCAUCGAUAGUACGUAGAUCAUCAGAGAAUAUUUAAUUUAGAUAUGAUUUAAAAAAUAGUAGUGUUAAAUUUAAAUCACAAAAUAUGAGUGGAAGAAAAUGCAGGUUUGAUUAGAGAUGCAAAGAUAACAUUUGUUUUUAUAAAUGCCUACUUUAUCUAUAACUCAAAAACAAAUCGUCAUUCCUCGUUAUACAAGUUCAUCAUCUCCGAAACCAAUUUUACUAUUUGAAAAUCGGUCAAUCAUGACGUUAACUUUCCAUUUCAUCAUGGAUUUUUAGGAUUUUUGUCGAUUUCAUUUGCUUUGUCACCAAAAGAUUUUAGAAAGACAAUUAUAGUUUGCAAAAACGAACAAAAUCAAUUCAAAACAGUGCAGUCGGCUAUUGAUUCCAUACCAAACGAUAAUCUACAAUGGAUUAAAAUACAUAUACAAGCUGAAACAUUCAGGUAAAGAAUUAGUUGAUUACCACUACAAAAAAUGAUAAUGUCUGACGAGAUCCAUAUCUUCGAAUAUUGUAUUUGAUCAAUCUUCGAAUAUUCAAAUUUGAUCAAAUCUGAAUUUUGUUAUAAAAAUCAGUAUUUGAAUCCAAUAUUAAUUGUGCAAAUUUAUAAGAUUUCUGACUAGCUAUUGACACUCUAUAUUAUAACAAUAAUCUAUUUUAGAAAAUGUAUUGAUUAUUGAUAUACUGUUAUUAUAAAUAAUCUAAUUUAGAAAAUGUAUUGAUUUUCCAUUGAUUUUUAGAUUCAUCACAAUCAAUGGAAUCUCAAUCGAUUUAGGGAUCCAUCGAUAGAAUCUCACUAAUUCAGCUUUGUAAAUGUUUUAAAUAGAAUAAGAACUCGGUGGUCAAAACCACAGCUCAGUCUCACAUCUUCAAUCUACUCUCCUACUCGGUGGUCAAAAUUACAGUACCAUCGCCAAACAAUUCCUCGUCGACCAGUUUCGCUCCCGCAUCACUUUUGUUAUUACGGAGAUGCUAUGGAAUGUAUAGACCAUGUGAUAGUUCCUAACAGUUUCCUGUUUAUAAACCUCAUGUUGAUCGUAUGCUUUGGAAGAGUUUAGCUUGGGCUGACAGAGUAGAUGAUGCUCCUAGACUUUGGUGGGUACGUUAACUAUAUGAGGGAGAAUGAAGAUCCCAACUUUGUAGAUGAUGAUCCAGAUGAAGGGCCUCAACCUCUGAAUAUUUGGGACCCUUAUGGUGAUGAUGAAUGGGAUGGUAGAUUUGAUGAGAGAUAUAAUGAUGAAGGAGGUGUUGGUGGUAUUUAUGGAUUUAGUGAUGAUGAGGAGGCUGCUAAAAAUGAUGAUUUUUAUAUCUUGGAAUGCAAGAAGGGUGAGUCAGUUAGAGAUCUGUUGAGGAAGAAGAGGAAAGCUGCUCUUAGGGCACUUUAUAAGGAUAAGGCUACAUCCCUUGGAAUUUGGGAUGGUGUUUAUCCUCCUCGUUUGUUGGAUGACCUUGUUGAAGUAAAGAAGAGGGAUCUUUAAGUGAAGAAAAAAAGGCAGAUAACUUUUUUGAUGUUUGUUUGGUUUUUAAUGUAUAUAUAUAGGGCACACAUCUGGUGUGUCAAAUGCGUCAUACAACGUAAUACGGUAACGAGUAUAACUCGAGGAUAUUGUAACAUAUAACGUAUUGAUGAAUACAACGUCGUUGUACAGAGUUUAGUUGUUGAUGAAUAAUGCAUUGUCAGUCGACGGAUUAGGAUCUAACGGUCGAAAAAAAUUAGGCUCAUUUUGGCACAUGAAAUGUUUGACACACCUGAAACUAGCUCUAUAUAUAUGUAAGAAAAAGGAAAAUACUAAAUGUUUUGGUGAUAGGAAACUUUAUAUCUUGAAAUAUUUUGGUAUGUUUUGAAUGAUAUAUGCAUUAAAGAAAAAGCACAAUGGUUGAAACCUUUUUUUAUGAUGGAAUUUUGAAAGAAGAAAAGAAAGAUAUUUGAUGUAUAUAUUGAAAAUAUUUGGAAUUUUGAGAAAGAAAAAAAGUGUAUAUAUUUGAAAAAAAUGCGUGUGAUGAAAGAUGGAAAUUUCUGAAUUCUGAUGUUGUUGAUUGUGUUGGAUCUUACUGCUCUGAUACCAUGUUAUAAUGCUAAAUGUAAAAAUGAUUUACGAUGAAUUGAUGAUUUAACUUGACUGAUUGAAUGUGAUAUAACAGUAUACAAAAUAUGCAGGCCUGAAUGGCAAAUCUGAAUGAAUACUUGAAUACAAAUAAUGUAUCAAUACAGAUUCUUAGAGUGACUGAGAGACGAUGAUGGAGGCGUAUUGAAGGAUCUCCAAGAUUGAUGUAAAUCUCGCAGAAAUAAUGAUUCAAUGAAGAUGAAGUUCACAACAAUAUAUUUGUAUGAUUCAGUUGGACAGUAGAUCAGAUUGAUUUGAAUAUCAGAAAGAAAGAUUGAAACGGGAACAACUUCUCUAUCUGACCAAGGGAGGGAGAUUGAUUUAUGGAGUACCAAAAAGGUUAAGGUUUAAAUUAUCUUAAUUUAUAUUUGUAGAUGAGUUUAGGUUCUAAAUACUCAAUGGCUAGUUUGAUAUUAAUUAGGAAAGUUGGAAGGUCAGGGUCAUAUGUGGUAAUAAGAUUUGUGUAUCAUAUAUUUUGUAAAACAUUCAAUAAUUCUAAUGUAUGGUUAAAUACUCUAAAUAUUCUUACAAAGAUCUAAUUCAUUUGCCUCUUAGCUUGGAUGGUUGCCAUUUAUUUCAUGGGCGACUCCAGUCUAUAUUGCGCGAUCAUUCCUCAUCGAUAGUAGAUCAUCAGAGAAUAUUUAGAUACAAUUUAAAAAUAGUGGUGUUAAAUUUAAGUCACAAAAUACGAGUGGAAGAAAAUGCAGGUUUGAUUUGAGAUGCAAAUAUAACAUUUGUUUUAUAAAUACCUACUUAUCUAUAACUCAAGAACAAAUCGUCAUUCCUCGUUAUACAAGUUCAUCAUCUACGAAAUCAAUUUUACUAUUUGAAAAUCAGUCGAUCGAUCAUGACGUUAACUUUCCAUUUCAUCAUGGGUUUUUUAGGAUUUUUGUGGAUUUCAUUUGCUUUGUCACCAGAAGAUUUUAGAAAGACAAUUAUAGUUGGCAAAAACGGACAAACUCCAUUCAAAACAGUGCAGUCGGCUAUUGAUUCCAUACCAAACGAUAAUCUACAGUGGAUCAAAAUACAUAUACAAGCUGGAACAUUCAGGUAAAGAACUAGUUACCACUACAAAAAAAUUAUAUUGUUUGACGAGAUCCAUCUUCAUCCCCGUUGUCGCUUGCUGGAGCUCUAACUCUCUUCGGGAGUUGUCUUCGAUCAAUUACCCUAUAUAUCCUUCAUCCCUUUUCUAUUCUUAUAUUUUGCAUUUUCGUAGUUUUUAAAUUAGGUUUUUGUUUCAUUAAAAUUGAAAUUUGUGUAUUUAUAGUUUGGAUUUGGGUUUUUUAAGUUUGGAUUUGGGUUUUUUAAGUUUGAAUUUGGGAUUUUAAAAUUGAGUUUUGGGUUUCUAAAUUGUCUUCUAUCUAUUAUUCAUGGGAUUUAAGUUUUAAAUUUGGUAUUUGAGUUUUUGAAGUUAGGUUUUGUUUUUUUAGUGUUUAAUGUUUUGAAUGAUAUAUUUUUAGAUUUUGAAUUCAUUUUUUUUUACUGUUUUGAAUGAUUUUGAUAUUCUAUAUUUAAACAAACAUAUAUAUAAUACUUAUUCAAUCAAUACACAGAAAGAUGAGCUCAACUGACCAUAUCUAUUAAAUUAAGUUUUUGAGAAUCUACGAUUCAAGUCUCGUUGUAUACGUAUUUUCAUUAGAUUUUCAUUACGAUUUACUGAAGAUAUAUUAUUCCGCUCUGCUAUAUCAUCUCGAAAUAGACAUUUCAUUAAUAGUACGUUUUUUUUUAUUUAUACAGAGAACAAGUAAGGAUCCCUAGAAAUAAAGGGUUUAUUCUUUUAGAGGGAGAAGGGAGAGACAAAACUACAUUAGUUGAAUCUAAAUAUAUAAAUGUUGAAACAUGGAAUCUGAAUCGAACAACUAGGUUUGAAAAAGGAUUUAUUACCGAUAUGGAUGAAUAUCAAAAGAUCAAUCUCGACGCAUUGGAAGAUAGUGCGACUUUUGUCUCUGAAGCAAAUAAUAUCAUAGUCAAAGAUAUAACUUUAAAGGUAUUGUGCAAAUUUCACUACAAAAAACAGGCAAUUUGAACGACCAAAGAUAACGAAAUUUCCGUUAACUAUGCUAUUUGUAACGAAAAUUCCGUUAACUUUGGUUAUCAUCAAAAUUCUUGCACGAAUCAGUUCCAUUUAACUUUAAAUAAAUUUAGUUAUAUAAUGAUAUAUACAUGUUUAUGUAUAGAAUGAUUACUCAAGUUCGACUGGAUUGAUUAAACGAGCCGUGGCAGCUGAUAUCAAAGGCGAUAUGACAUCAUUCUAUAAUUGUGGCUUUGUAAGCUUCCAAGACACUCUUUACGACAGGUCGGGUCGCCAUUAUUUUAGCAAUUGUUACAUUGAAGGUCAUGUCGAUUACAUUUUCGGUCACGGACAAUCCAUUUAUGAGGUGAUUUGUUAAACUUUAUAAUUAAGUUUGUAUAUAUGAUGUUUAUUUCAACACAUGUAUAUGUUCAGAGAUGUACAAUAUUUAGCGCAACUAAUAAGAAAGGAUCGAAAGGCUGGAUAACCGCACAAGGAAGAGCCAAAUCCACAGAUCCUGAUGGAUUUUUGUUUAAGGAUUGCGACUUGACUGGACCUGGUCUAUCCUAUUUGGGACGAGCAUGGGGAUCAUAUUCAAAAGUUGUAUUUUAUCGUUCGAAAAUGGCCAACAUCAUUGUUCCCGAAGGAUGGGACCAGUGGGAUCAAUCACCUUCG
rnacentral:lncRNA from 1 species